CCGCUGCUGCGCGCGCCCGGCGCGCCCGGAUCGCGUCACCCGCCCCGGGGCGGGGAAACGGGACGGGGACGCAGCCGGGAAAGGAGAGGAAAAGGCUGCGGGGACAACGCGCUUUUAAUGCCAAGGGACAUCACAGCUGGCCGGUGCGACAACCGGCGUGUCAAACCCGACACUCGCAAAACACGCAGGGAAUACACGCCACGGGUCAAGCCAGCUCUGUGCCGGGAAGUGCUGGCUGCUGCUUCAUACUGCGGCAGGGACAGGCUGGUGCGCAGCUACGACCCUCCUCUGCAGGCUGGGACAGCUCUGGCAAGAAAACAAAAAAGCUUAAAGUAUAAAAGUGCGCUUGUGUCAUGUUGCACGUCCAUCGGCUCCCUCCUCACCUCCGAGAAACGCGCAGCAGCGGUUCUGCAGCUGCUGGUGCCAUCUCUUGCCUGCGUUCCUCCCAGCCCUUGGAAGGUCGGUUCAACGUGGAUCCGUCUUUGGUGACCUGAACCUCGACCUCAGAGUGAAACAAACAACCAAAAAUCAGCCUUUUUCAUUCAUCACAAAAGGCGCUCAUUGCUUCUUCACCAUAGAAGAUAGUGACACCGCUUGCCGUCAUUAAAUUUUAAUAAUUUAAUAAUAGAAAAGGUUAAACUGUUAAACCCAGUGUAUGCAAGACAGUUCUGGGAGACAGCCCCACGUAUUUAGCUAAUGGUAGGAAACUAUUUGAAAAAAUUAAAUCCACCACCCACAUUGGAACUCACUUUUACAGGCCUUACCCAGUGAAAUACUACUUUGAGAGACAUAAAUUCUAGGGAUUUUUCCCUGUUUUUUUUUUAAACAGGAACAACUAUGCCUGCUGCAAUUUUUUCUGCUGAUAACAGGCAUGACUUUUUGAUUUCCUUUAUCAACCAUUUAGAUAAUUAAAAACAAUUUUAGAUAAAUGAGAAAAAAGUCUGCUUAAACCACCAAGCUGCAUACAUCUCUGGUUAAAACAAAGAAAAAAGUUACCUUCUCUCUUAACUUUGCCAAUCUUUUUUUUCUUUCUUGUUUGUCUAUCUCUUUAGCAUGUUUCUGUAAAAUGCUUAGCUCCAGUUUAUGCAGAUCCUGAAACAUAAUGAGUGGAAAAGAAAAUUUUUCUUUGGAAGUAAAACAAAUUAUAUAAAACUAUACAUGCAGCUUUUUCACAGCUUUUUUUCUUUGUUUUGUUUAUCUGUGGUUGUUUUUUUGUUUGUUUUUGUUUUGAAAUUAUUGUGAUAUUAAAGAAUAAGGUUUCACUAGGUGAAAUAUGAUAUAGCUUGUCCUGCACAAACAAAUUCUGGUUACAUUACAUGGCUUGGAAAUAAAAAAGUAGUAGUUCAAA